rnacentral:rRNA from 1 species
AUACGUAGGGGGCGAGCGUUGUCCGGAAUGAUUGGGCGUAAAGGGCGCGUAGGCGGCCUGUUAAGUCUGGAGUGAAAGUCCUGUUUUCAAGAUGGGAAUUGCUUUGGAUACUGAUGGGCUUGAGUGCAGGAGAGGUUAUCGGAAUUCCCGGUGUAGCGGUGAAAUGCGUAGAGAUCGGGAGGAACACCAGUGGCGAAGGCGGGUAACUGGACUGCAACUGACGCUGAGGCGCGAAAGUGUGGGGAGCAAACAGGAUUAGAUACCCUGGUAGUCCACACUGUAAACGAUGAAUGCUAGGUGUAAGAGGUAUUGACCCCUUUUGUGCCGGAGUUAACACAAUAAGCAUUCCGCCUGGGGAGUACGGCCGCAAGGUUGAAACUCAAAUGAAUUGACGGGG